GGGCCGUUAGCUCAUCUGGUAGAGCACUACAUUUGCAAUGUAGGGGUGGCAGGUUCGAGUCCUGUACGGUCCA
rnacentral:tRNA from 1 species